CUGGAGAGGGACCGGAGACAGAGGAGCUGGCAGGGCUUGGGGGGCAUGGGGCAGGAAAGGGUUCAGCGGACCUGGCCUUUACUCUGUGAGAGUUCCAAGCUCGAGGGUCCAGGGUGGCUGUGAGGUUGGGGAGCGGCGGUGCUGCCCAAGCGAGGGCAGCUGUAGAGUAGAGUGUAAGAGGACCAGAGCCUUGAGUCCGCUUGGUCCCCCAGGCAAAGGGCUCUGACUUCAGCUGACUCUGAUGGCCUUGCAUGGGCACAGAGUUUAAUUUUAGCUCCAGCCACAGGAGUGCCUGGCAGUGGGUGCAGGGGUAGCCUGAGCCGCUCAGGGACUACUCGGGCUGUGGGGGAGUGGAGGAGACCAGCCCUACUUCCUUCCAACCUUGAGCCUGGCAAGCGUGUUUCUUGUGGGAGCCCUGACCGAUCCUCCAUGGCCUGGCAGACAGCCCUCCUCUCAGUCAAGGGCAGGGGCAGAGGGUGCAGCCACGAGGGCAGAGGGACAUUGCUUUGCAGUCUGGACAAGGAUUGCAUCAGUCUGAGUAGUACCCAGGGGCAGGUGGCCCUGCUGGUGGGGCAAAGGCUGGCUGGGUUGUGCAGAUGCCAAGGAAACGGAGCUCUGGGCACAGGAAAGCAAGACCAGAAAGCUGGCUCGCCUUGACCCCUCUUGGGUGGCCAGUGACUUGCUUUUUGACUUCUACAGGAAGCUUGCCCUCAUGAGUCUCAGUCUUCCCGUCUGUGCAAUGACAAUGCUGGACUAGAGGACUGAUCAUAGCCCUGGUCACCCUCAGAUCCUGCUCGCCGGCAGAGGCACCUGGCUUCCCCCAGCCUUGGUUGUGGGUGGCCAAUGCAGUUCUGGAGAAGAAGGUCUCUCUGGCUGGCACUGUCAGCUUCCAGUCUCCUCCUUACCCUCCUGGGGUUUUUCCCCUUUCUCCGCCUAGCAGUGUCCCCCAGACCUCAGCCUGCCGCUCCCCAGGGCUGGCCCCGCUGGUUGGAUACAGCGUCCCUGCGGAGUUUCUCCCAGCCUGAAGAGCCCCCAGAAGAUGUCCCUCAACCUCCUCAAGCCCCCCAUGGUACCAGCUGCAGCUGGGGAAUCUGCUUUGACACCUCCAGAUGCAGGGGUGAUGGCCUCAAGGUAUUUGCACAUGCAGCUGCUCAACCAACCUCUGAGAUGCAUCGCAGGAUCCUGGCUUCCCUGGAAGGCUCCCGCUACCACACACGCAAUCUCACAGAGGCCUGCCUCCUCUUCGUCCUCAGCCCAGAAGACCCAGAUGGACAGUGUGGCCCUGCUCCUCAACACUGGAACGGAGGCAGGAACCACCUGGUCAUCCGUCUCCACCCGGACCCCUGCCCCCAGGCCUCCCAGCUGGGACAGGCAAUGGUGGCACAGGCCAGCCCCAGAGUGGACACCUUCCGGCCUGGCUUCGAUGUGGCACUCCCGCUUCUCCCUGAAGCCCACCCAUUUCGAGGUGGGGCUCCUGGCCAGCUGCAACAGCACAGCCCCCACCCUAGGGCAGCCCUGCUAGCCCUGGCAGAAGAGGGGGGCAGGUGGCGUACAGCAGGCACCUACUCCUCCACCUGCCCCUGGGAUGGGCACUGUGAGCAAGACCUUGGACCCAAGCAGACCAGACCUGAGGAAAAGCUGCCCAAUGCGACCUUCUGCCUCAUCCCUGGCCAGCGUGCUGAAGCCUCGCGCUUCCUUCAAGCCCUGCAGGCUGGCUGCAUCCCUGUGCUUCUCAGCCCCCACUGGGAGCUGCCGUUCUCUGAGGUCAUCGACUGGACCAAGGCGGCCAUUGUAGCUGACAAGCGGCUUCCUCUUCAGGUCCUGGCUGCCCUCCAGGAGAUGGCUCCCGCACGGGUCCUCGCCCUGCGCCAACAGACCCAGUUCCUGUGGGCCGCCUACUUCUCCUCAGUAGAGAAAGUCAUCCACACCACUCUGGAGAUUAUCCAGGACCGGAUUUUGGGUGCAUCUGCCCACCCCUCACUGUUGUGGAAUAGCCCUCCAGGGGCACUCCUGGCCCUGUCCAUUUUUUCCAGGAGCCCCCAGGAUUUCCCCUUCUACCACCUGCAGCAGGGCUCCCGCCCUGAGGGCAGAUUCAGCGCCCUGAUCUGGGUGGGGACCUCCAGCCAGCACCCCCUGAAGCUCAUCCAGGCGGUGGCAGGAUCCCAGCACUGUGCCCAGAUCCUGGUUCUCUGGAGCAGUGAGAAGCCACUCCCUCUCAAGUGGCCAGAGACAACAGUGCCCUUGACGGUCAUGGAUGGGCACAGGAAGGUCAGCGACCGCUUCUUUCCAUACAGCGCCAUCAGCACUGAUGCUAUCCUCAGCCUCGAUGCCCACAGCAGUCUUUCUACAAGUGAGGUAGACUUUGCCUUUGUGGUGUGGCAGAGCUUCCCAGAGCGGAUGGUGGGCUUUCUAACAUGGAACCACUUCUGGGAUGAGACUCGAAGCGGCUGGGGCUACACUGCUGAGAUGGCCAAUGAAUUCUCCAUGGUUCUCACCGCAGCUGCCUUCUACCAUAGGUAUUACCACACUCUCUUCACCCACUCCCUGCCCAAGGCCCUGAGGACCCUGGCAGAUGAGGCACCCGCCUGCGUGGACGUCCUGAUGAACUUCUUAGUAGCGGCAGCCACCAAGCUGCCCCCUAUUAAAGUGCCCUUUAGCAAGCAGCACCGGGGGGCUGCUCCACUGGCUCCUAGGAUUCCGGCGUCCGGGUCUCAGCCUCAGCCCCCACAUCAAGACUGCAUCAACCGGAUGGUGGCAGAGUUCGGCCACAUGCCUCUGGUCCCUUCUCGCUUGCGUCUGGACCCCGUGCUGUUCAAGGACCCAGUGUCUGUGCAGCGCAAGAAGUACCGCAGGCUGGAGAAGCCCUAGGAGAGACCAUAGGAGGUCCUAGCCCGGCUCCCAGGGCGCGCGUCACCCACCGUCAGGCGGCGCUAGCCUGGCUCUCUGCUGCUGCGGCUCGGCUCGGGCUGAUCCGCUGGCCCAGCUACGUUUCUUUGUCUUUCAGAUCCUUGCCUGAUAUUUAUGUGCGACCUCCAGGGAUCGAUGUCGUUGAUGCUGCCGCGGUCCCAUCGCUGUUCACGCUGGCUGGCAACGUGCUCGCCGCCAGGCCCCCAGGCAGCCUGGGAGUCCGGAGGGCGGGUCGCGCCCCCUUCUCCCCAGUCUGGCAGGUGCGCGCAAACAUUUAAUAGAUACAAAGGAGAGACAUUAACCUUAAGCCACCGCAGACACUGCGUGCGGAGAGAAAAACCCUCCCACCCCGGCGUUCCUAGUCGGCGAGGAAGACAGCCAUGUGAAGAAGCCUAGGUUGUCAGGCUUAAUCCUCGCCCCCCAGGGAAGGAGCAAAGAAGGGCAGGGAAAGGCGAGGGAUGGGAACGUGGGUGACACGUCCCUGUUGCGCAGGGUCCUGGGCUCUGGCCCGACUAGCCUCCCUGAAUUAUCGAUUUGUACCACUAGGGGUCAGUGCUGCACCGCACUCCCUCCACCGAAGAGCUGGGCGUUUAAACUUAUGCUUGGUGGGGUGAGAGGGCGGGCCGGGGGCGUGGAGGGUCAACCGGUGUGCACUAUGUAUGCACCGCCCGGGUCUGCAAACAAGAGAAUUAUCAGAAAGAACGGCCACACCCCUUUGGCUUGCACACUCGGAACCCCGUUAGAAGGAACUGUUUCCAGGUGCUGCUUCUCCGCGGCCUCCAUGCCGCCCGCGCGCCCCCGCCUCGCCGACAGCGGCCUGGACGCUGCGCGCCGGACGCUCCGCCGCGCGCACACCGGCGGCUCCCGCUCCCGCUCCCGCUCGGCGCCCCCGACCCCGCGUCCGCGUCUCCGCGCUGCACGUGUGCGCGCCGCCCGCUUUAUCCCGGCCCUCGCCGCCCCGUGUGAAGCUGCCCGCCGCACGUCGUGUGCAAAAGCUCCCCGGGAGGGAGGAGGGUGGCCGGCUGCAAAGGGCGUCGCGGGGCUGCCCCCCACCCGCUGGUGGCCUGCGAGGGGCCCCGAGGCCGAGCUGCCCGCGAGGAAAAUCCUAACAGCCUCUGCGCCCACUCUCCCGCGUGGGUAGGCCAUGACCCACCGAGGAGGGACGGAACCUUGGUCUCUCGGACACCCGGGGGGCAGGAAUGUGGCCCCGUGCCUCGGAAUAGCGACUCCCUCGGCCAGGGCCGGCGGCGACCUCCGACGGUGCUGGAUCUGCUGAAUCGUUCGCCCCUCUCAGCCAGGAGACUUCUGACCAGCUGCCGCUUUUCCCUCCGGCUGGGCGUGGAAUAGUCUCCCUUCAGCUGGGGCGGUGCUGACCCUGGCAGGUUGGGGUGGCCUACUGGUUUGCCACCGAAGUGGCACCCUUUCCUCCUCUCUAGUGCGCUCUAAUUAGAAUCCGCAGUGGCCAGCUUUUUGUUUGUUUGUUUGGAGGGACUUUGUUUUUAACUGGUGAUUGAAUCUAGGACCUUUGCACUGAACUGCAUCCCCAAACGAUUUUUAUUUUAUUUUUGUGGGGCCAGAGAUAUAACUCAGCAACACAGUGCCUGCCUGGAAGCACCAGGUUAAGAGUUCAAUUCCCAGUACAAAAAAUAAUAAUAAAAUAAAAUCGUAUUUUAUUCUGAGACUAAAUCAAUUGAGUUACCCAGGUUGGAAUUCAAACUGUGGUCCUCCAGCUCAGUUUCCCAGAGCGCUGGAAUUACAGGCAUGUGCCAAUGGUUGUGGCCACCCUUAUCUGCACCCCUAUAAGGAAUAGUGUCAUGCUUCAUUAACAGUCACCGUCUGUCCAGAGCUGACACCACCACCACCACACUUUCUCCCAUCCCUUGAAGCAAAUUAAGGGACACCAGAAAGCUCUACAGGUAAACAUUUGGAACAACAUCAACAAAUAAUCUGGGAGAUGAAGGCAGAAGGUGCCAUGCAUGGUGGUACUGAUGAAAGAACCUGGCCUGUGCCCAAUUGGCAGCUGGGUGCCCCGCCGACUUGAAGCAGUGUCCCACCACCCAGGUCCCAGGGUGGGGCCUGGAGCCUCUAUGUUGGCCUCUAACAGGUGCCUGUGUAGAAAGCUGGUGACUUUCCCUGGGAAGUCAGCUCAUGAGCCCCAGUGCCAAUGUUGGAGCACAAUUAUAAUGUAGAAACACAUUCAUGAGAUGGUAAAUUUAUGGAUAUUUCUAGCGGGCUCUGACCAAGUUGCUGUUCUGCUGUCUCUGGUAAAUUCAGUUGACCCAGACAAUGUCAGAGCAGUUUCCUAUACCUUAAAGCACCUUGGGCUGACCAGUGCUCAUUCAGCUUUUUCUCCUGAACAAUUCCUAUAUUAUGGUAAUGACCUUAAGUAUACUUAUUCUGUAAGAGCCUCCUCCAUUGGUUCAUGGAAUGUUUGUAUUAUUUCAAGAUAUCCUGUCUGUCAAUAUAUGAUUCAAUGUAUGUAAGCAAUCAUGUAACAUUUGGUCACUUGCUCUGUACCACUCACUUCUAAUUCUAUAUAAACUAAAGUCCUUCCUGAUUGAGAGCAGUCAUGUGAGAGGAAUUAUCUCUGCAACUGUCCACUGGUGUGAAAAUCCAACAGUUCACUGGUGUAAAAAUUAAUGCUGCCUUCUUCAUGAGUUCAAUCCCCCGUACUAAAGGGAAAAAAAAGAAAGCUAAAUGCUGUCUUCCUAUCUCCUCAGUGCAAAGAGUCUUCCUUUUGGUUUGGCUUGGCUUGGGUUGGCUUGGGAAAUUUCCUGCAACAUCCUUGGGCACUAGGACCAUAGCUUGGAAGAUUCGGCCUGUCACAGAAACAAGUGUAUAGUGCUGGAAGUGUAGCUCAGGGGUAAAGCUGUGAAACUGUGCUAGGCAGCUGGAUUAUAUAUAUUACAGGCAGGCAGAUGGGGGUGGGGCCUCAAAUUAGACAAUGCAGAAGACCAGAGAUCUUGCAACCUUGAGGAGACACCUCUGUGCUUCUGCUGUGGGCCAGGUCUCAAAACAAAAGAUAAAACAAAUGUAACCACACCCUAAGUAUAAACAUCAGGGAUUGAUAUUCUAAAUAGGUAUCAAUCACCUUGAAGAAACCAGAAGGGGCCAUUAAUCCAACCCCUUAGCAAAGAAGCAAAGACCCUAGUCUGUAUUAUUCUGUUUUUGGUUUUUUUUUUUUUUUUUUGGUACUGGGAAAUCGAACUCAGGACUACAGGCUUGGAAGGUAAGCACUUAUGCUGCUGAGCUAAAUCCCCAGCCCUUUAUUCUGUAUUCUUAUCUACUUGUUAUAUGACUCGCCUCCCCAUUUGAUCCAGAUUUAAUCAAUUUUACCUGAUCAAUUUAAUCAAUUUUACUUGUGAUCUUACUGGUUGACCAUAAUUCUGUCCCACCUCAUGUCCACCUGCCUUCUGAGUUCCCAUUUUCCCCCACCUUGGACCUACCUCACCUCAUAGUUUUGCUCUAUAAAAUCCCUGGAAAAGGCAGAAUCCUCAGCAACUCACUCCGAACCAUGUCUGUCUGUCUGUUUCUCUCUCUCUCUCUCUCUCUCUCUGACAGAAGCUUUCUUUCUCUCAAUAAAUAUGUUCUGCUCCUAA